rnacentral:rRNA from 1 species
UACGGAGGAUGCAAGCGUUAUCCGGAAUGAUUGGGCGUAAAGCGUCCGCAGGUGGCGAUGUAAGUCUGCUGUUAAAGAGUGAGGCUCAACCUCAUAAGAGCAGUGGAAACUACAUAGCUAGAGUGCGGUAGGGGCAGAGGGAAUUCCUGGUGUAGCGGUGAAAUGCGUAGAGAUCAGGAAGAACACCGGUGGCGAAAGCGGCAUCCUGGACCAACACUGACACUGAGGAGCGAAAGCCAGGGGAGCAAACGGG